rnacentral:rRNA from 1 species
UACGUAGGGACCGAGCGUUGUCCGGAUUCAUUGGGCGUAAAGAGCUCGUAGGCGGCUGUUCAAGUCGAACGUGAAAACUCGGAGCUCAACUCCGAGCCUGCGUUCGAUACUGGACGGCUAGAGUCUGGUAGGGGGAUCUGGAAUUCCUGGUGUAGCGGUGGAAUGCGCAGAUAUCAGGAGGAACACCGGUGGCGAAGGCGGCUUUCUGGACACUAACUGACGCUGAGACGCGAAAGCGUGGGGAGCAAACAGG